CAUAGUCCAUACAGAGAUUGUAGAAAUAACGGAUACAAAUGAGUGGUUUAAUUCCAAUCUUCUGAAGAGUCAUAAUAACUUUAUACAAUAAACACAUUUUUUAUUUGUAAGCAACUGUCCCUUUAAGAUUAUGAACCGUUGUUAACCGACUUAAACUGCUUGAUUCAACACACCUACUCCACCUUUCUCAGCUCCACUGCGUAUGUCUCAGGGAGACCAUCACGGAGACGGCUGGUGUGUUGAUCAACCUAACACACAAAGUAAAAGACCAUAAUCAGGGAUAAAGGAAAUCUGAAACAUAUUCACAGCAUUUAAAUAAAUCUUAAAAACUGAACAACAUUUUGUGUUCAAUCCAUAGAGCACAACUUUGCUGUCCUGAGACCCUCAGAGGACCACCUAGGAAGAUCUCAGACUCCAGUGGGCGUCUCUCAGGCAGACCAUCAUGGUGAUGGCUGGAGUGCUCAUCCACCUGACACACAAGAGCACACCUUUUCUGUCCUGAGACCCUCAGGGGCCCACCAAGGAAGAACACUGAGUAAGUUAAGAAGGGGAAAAACACAAUGUCUGAUAACUUGAACAAUGUCCGGGAAUACAGACAUGAUGGACUGCAACAUUCACAGGAAGCUGUUUGUUCUGAAAGUACAAUAAUCUGCACGUUUUAGUAGAAUUGAACUAAAUCAAACUGCACACCAUUUCAAAUCAUAUUAAAUAUUGUUAUGGAUUUAAUGUUAUAUAAAAAUUUAGAGUAUAAUAGGACAUGACAGCAUUAUUGUCCAUUUUAAUCAUGUUCCAAAAAUAAUUUAAAUGAAGUUACACCAAAAAAAAUAAAAAUAAUAUUUGGUACA
ensembl:lncRNA